rnacentral:rRNA from 1 species
UACGUACCGUACGAACGUUAUUCGGAAUUAUUGGGCUUAAAGCGUUUGUAGGCGGCUUUGUAAGUCAGGUGUGAAAUCCCUCGGCUCAACCGAGGAAUAGCGCUUGAUACUGCAAGGCUUGAGGGAGACAGGGGUAAGCGGAACUGAUGGUGGAGCGGUGAAAUGCGUUGAUAUCAUCAGGAACACCGGUGGCGAAAGCGGCGUACUGGGUAGCUACUGACGCUGAGGAACGAAAGCGAGGGGAGCGAACGGG